CCCAAAAAAGAGAGUUACAAGGAUAACAAGCAACUCACUUUUAGUAUUGUACUGGAAUCCUUCCUUGCAACUUUGGAAUUUGAGGGGUUAGAGCUAGGAUUUGAAUUAUUCUUAUUCCCAUUGUUAUCAAACAUAGCAGGGUUGUCACCAAAAAGUGGUGUCUUUCAGAUUUUCAAUACGGGUUCCAAAAACUUUGCAUUCAUCCCAAAUUCCUAUAUGUAAUUCCUAC
rnacentral:lncRNA from 1 species